GAUUCUGUGGCGCAACGGCAGCGCUGCCUGACUCCAGAUCAGAAGGUUGCGUGUUCAAAUCACGUCAGAAUCA